UGGGGAAUCUUGCGCAAUGGCCUAACGGCUGACGCAGCGACGCCGCGUGUGGGAGGACGCCCUUCGGGUGUAAACCACUGUUGCCCGGGACGAAACCGGCUUCGAGCCGAUUGACGGUACCGGGUGAGGAAGCACCGGCUAACUCCGUGCCAGCAGCCGCGGUAAUACGGAGGGUGCGAGCGUUGUCCGGAAUCACUGGGCGUAAAGGGCGCGUAGGCGGUUCGGAAGGCUGUGGGUGAAAGCCCGGGGCUCAACCCCGGGUCGGCCGUGGCGACUCCCGGACUGGAGCACUGUAGAGGCGGGUGGAAUUCCGGGUGUAGCGGUGGAAUGCGUAGAGAUCCGGAAGAACACCGGUGGCGAAGGCGGCCCGCUGGGCAGUUGCUGACGCUGAGGCGCGACAGCGUGGGGAGCAAACAGGAUUAGAUACCCUGGUAGUCCACGCCGUAAACGAUGGGCACUAGGUGCCUGGGGGAGCGACCCCCCGGGUGCCGGCGCUAACGCAUUAAGUGCCCCGCCUGGGGAGUACGGCCGCAAGGCUG
rnacentral:rRNA from 1 species